AGCUGAUCUGGCUUACUGACAGCCCCGGCGGCGGAGGAGGAGCUUCCUCCGGUGGUUCUGCAAGUGGGUCCAUUUCCAUGUUGUCCAAAGAGGACAACAUGGGCUUGACUUCAGAGGAAUCUUCCUCUUACGCAGAUGAGUCUGGGCUUGAAUUGGGUCUUGGGUUAAGCCUCCGCGGCGGCGGUGGUCGUGGUGGUGGGAGGUGUAAAUCAGCCGUGUGGGGUCCGUAUGCUAGGAUCUUGACCGCUAAGGACUUGCCUUCCAUGGGUUUGAAGUCCUCUUCUGAUCAUAAUCUCCUUCGUCUUU
rnacentral:lncRNA from 1 species